rnacentral:rRNA from 1 species
GACGAACGCUGGCGGCGUGCUUAACACAUGCAAGUCGAACGGAAAGGCCUUGCUUCUGUGGCGUGCUCGAGUGGCGAACGGGUGAGUAACACGUGAGUAACCUGCCCUCGACUGUGGGAUAACUCCAGGAAACUGGGGCUAAUACAGGAUAGGAGCUCCUGCUGCAUGGGGGGGGUUGGAAAGUUUCGGCGGAUGGGGAUGGGCUCGCGGCUUAUGAGCUUGUGGGUGGGGGAGUGGCCUACAACGGAUUUGACGGGUAGCCGGCCGGAGAGGGUGACCGGCCGCAAUGGGACUGAGGUAAGGCCCAGACGACUCCGGGGGGCAGCAGUGGGGAAUAUUGCACAAUGGGCGGAAGACUGAUGCAGCAGCGCCGCGUGCGGGAUGAAGGCCUUCGGGUUGUCGACCGCUUUCGCCUGUGACGAAGCGUGAAUGACGGUAAUGGGUAAAGAAGCACCGGCUAACUACGUG